rnacentral:rRNA from 1 species
UACGUAGGUGGCGAGCGUUGUCCGGAUUUACUGGGCGUAAAGGGAGCGUAGGCGGACUUUUAAGUGAGAUGUGAAAUACCCGGGCUCAACUUGGGUGCUGCAUUUCAAACUGGAAGUCUAGAGUGCAGGAGAGGAGAAUGGAAUUCCUAGUGUAGCGGUGAAAUGCGUAGAGAUUAAGAAGAACACCAGUGGCGAAGGCGAUUCUCUGGACUGUAACUGACGCUGAGGCUCGAAAGCGUGGGGAGCAAACAGGAUUAGAUACCCGGGUA